ACGUUAUAAAUAGGCCUCCACAGGCGAACCUCCACUGUCAGGUCCUAGGGUGUGGCUUGUAAUUUUUCAGAGCUGUGCUUCCACUUGCGAAUUCAUAUUAGAGAUGGUAGAAAAGUUUGCUCACUCCCUUUAAUGCACAAAUUUUUAUUUCAAUAAUUAAAUAAAACUAUUAAAAUAAACAUUUUAAAGGGAACAUUGCUACGUUUUUGCUGAGUAAUCUUUUUUUUUUAUAUUGUUUUCAAGGAAACUUCCACCAAGAUGUCAAUAGAGACUGAGCAAACCCUACAGCCACACCAAGGCUCAUCAUGCUUGGUAAGCAUAAAAUAUAUAGUAAACAACCCAUAUGUUUCUUUGCAGUUUUUAUGGUGACUUUUCAUUUUUCAGGAAAUAAACUUCUAACCUCAUCUAAGUGGAUGGUCAGCAUUGAGGGGAAAGUGACACAUUGCAUUGAAGAGAAGCUGGAUUUUGCUGGAGCACUCUCUGUGCUUUUUGGUUGCUUUUAUGUUUUUAAUAUUGAGUACCAUGAGUCAGCCAGUGCCACACUUGAGCUUAUUCAAAGCCGCAAAACUGGGUCUACAGUUAAAAGAAAGGUUCAAAAUGUGAAUCCACAUGGCCAUACAUUUUUGCAGAGCCUUACCGAAUUUGAAUAGAAAACAUCUAAUUAACUCGAGCUCGAGGCCGUGGGAAAGCAGAUUCGCGACCUGGAGGUGAGGCAGGCCCAGCUGAGAGAGCGGAGAACCGCGCUGGAAUCAUCCCGGGCUGACGCUCACAAGUCCGGGGUAAGUAUACAGCGAUCUGCUAACAGUCCCACCACGUCUACUCCGUGUGUUUCUCUGCACAGGCCCGGUGCACCCAGGACGCGAUCUUCCCAGAUGUCCUUCACUGCGACGCCGGGACACCACGGACCCUGGGUGCAUCCACAGCGGAGGACGCGAGCCGGGUCCCGGGCGACGACUUCUCCCCCUCCUGCCUUCGACAUCUCCAUCCGGAACCGCUUCGCUCCCCUCCGCGAGACAGGACGGGACGCUGUGAUCAUCGGAGACUCCAUCGUCCGACACGUAAGUGCUACGUUAGCCGAAGGUAAAGUGCACACUCAUUGUUUGCCUGGUGCUCGUGUUCUCGAUGUUUCUGCGCAGAUACCCGCGAUCCUGAAGGUCGACGAGAGCCCCAGAGCGGUCGUGCUUCACGCCGGGGUUAACGACACCACGCUGCGGCAGACGGAGACGCUGAAGAGGGACUUCAGCAGCCUGAUCGAGACGGUUCGCAGCACGACGCCCGCGGCGACGAUCGUCGUGUCAGGACCACUGCCCACGUAUCGACGAGGACACGAAAGGUUCAGUAGACUUUUUGCUUUAAAUGAAUGGCUGUUGUCAUGGUGUAAAGAACAGAAACUGCUAUUUGUUAAUAACUGGAAUCUUUUCUGGGAGCGUCCUAGGCUGUUUCGCGCUGAUGGACUACACCCCAGCAGAAUCGGAGCGGAGCUGCUCUCUGACAACAUCUCCAGGACACUUCGCUCCAUGUGACUAUUUUCUUUUCUCUGCGCCGGAUUGGUGAUGUCCUUUACCCAGGCAUAGAUGUCCAUCCAUCAAUUAUGAACAUUCAGCCGCAAACAUGAGGUGCGAGCGGUCGCGAGCGCGGAUGGGAGAAUGGUGCAGGAUUUUUUUUUUUGAGCAACUGGGAUGGUGCCCCUUCUGGGAUUUGUUGCCCUACGCAGACUGCGUAUUCUGCAUAUAGGGAGCGGCGGUUCUGCUGUCAUCUUUCGCGCAAGUCGCGACCGUGCAUGCCAUGUUGUGAUGCUGGAUGGCACAUUGCACUGCGCGCAGCUGCAGACCAA